CCUACGGGUGGCAGCAGUGAGGAAUAUUGGUCAAUGGGCGCGAGCCUGAACCAGCCAAGUCGCGUGAGGGAUGACGGUCCUAUGGAUUGUAAACUUCUUUUGUCGGGGAGUAAAAUACGCCACGUGUGGCGUUUUGUGAGUACCCGAUGAAUAAGCAUCGGCUAACUCCGUGCCAGCAGCCGCGGUAAUACGGAGGAUCCGAGCGUUAUCCGGAUUUAUUGGGUUUAAAGGGAGCGCAGGCGGAAGAUAAAGUCGGCGGUAAAAUUGCGGGGCUAAACCUCUACGAGGCGUUGAAACUGGUUUUCUUGAGUGAGUGGGAAGUAUGCGGAAUGCGUGGUGUAGCGGUGAAAUGCAUAGAUAUCACGAAGAACUCCGAUUGCGAAGGCAGCAUACCGGAGCGCGACUGACGCUGAGGCACGAAAGCGUGGGGAUCGAACAGGAUUAGAUACCCUUGUAGUC
rnacentral:rRNA from 1 species